ACUCCUACGGGAGGCAGCAGUGGGGAAUAUUGGACAAUGGGGGGAACCCUGAUCCAGCCAUGCCGCGUGUGUGAAGAAGGCCUUUUGGUUGUAAAGCACUUUAAGCGAGGAGGAGGCUACCGAGAUUAAUACUCUUGGAUAGUGGACGUUACUCGCAGAAUAAGCACCGGCUAACUCUGUGCCAGCAGCCGCGGUAAUAC
rnacentral:rRNA from 1 species